rnacentral:rRNA from 1 species
GAGUUUGAUCGUGGCUCAGAUUGAACGCUGGCGGCAUGCCUUACACAUGCAAGUCGAACGGCAGCAUGAUCUAGCUUGCUAGAUUGAUGGCGAGUGGCGAACGGGUGAGUAAUACAUCGGAACGUGCCCUGUAGUGGGGGAUAACUAGUUGAAAGAUUAGCUAAUACCGCAUACGACCUGAGGGUGAAAGUGGGGGACCGCAAGGCCUCAUGCUAUAGGAGCGGCCGAUGUCUGAUUAGCUAGUUGGUGGGGUAAAGGCCCACCAAGGCGACGAUCAGUAGCUGGUCUGAGAGGACGAUCAGCCACACUGGGACUGAGACACGGCCCAGACUCCUACGGGAGGCAGCAGUGGGGAAUUUUGGACAAUGGGGGCAACCCUGAUCCAGCAAUGCCGCGUGUGUGAAGAAGGCCUUCG